rnacentral:rRNA from 1 species
GUGAACGCUGGCGGUAGGCCUAACACCUGCAAGUCGAACGGCAGCACAGUAAGAGCUUGCUCUUACGGGUGGCGAGUGGCGGACGGGUGAGGAAUACAUCGGAAUCUACUUUUACGUGGGGGAUAACGUAGGGAAACUUACGCUAAUACCGCAUACGACCUACGGGUGAAAGCAGGGGAUCUUCGGACCUUGCGCGAUUGAAUGAGCCGAUGUCGGAUUAGCUAGUUGGCGGGGUAAAGGCCCACCAAGGCGACGAUCCGUAGCUGGUCUGAGAGGAUGAUCAGCCACACUGGAACUGAGACACGGUCCAGACUCCUACGGGAGGCAGCAGUGGGGAAUAUUGGACAAUGGGCGCAAGCCUGAUCCAGCCAUACCGCGUGGGUGAAGAAGGCCUUCGGGUUGUAAAGCCCUUUUGUUGGGAAAGAAAAGCAGCAGGUUAAUACCCCGCUGUUCUGACGGUACCCAAAGAAUAAGCACCGGCUAACUUCGUG